rnacentral:rRNA from 1 species
UGGGUAACCUGCCUCAAAGAGGGGAAUAGCCUCCCCGAAAAGGGGAGAUUAAUACCGCAUAAUGUGUUUAAGUCGCAUGACUUUAACAUCAAAGGAUUUUCUUUUAAGAAAUUCCACUUUGAGAUGGACCCGUGGCGCAUUAGCUAGUUGGUGAGGUAACGGCUCACCAAGGCAACGAUGCGUAGCCGACCUGAGAGGGUNAUCGGCCACAUUGGAACUGAGACACGGUCCAGACUCCGUAGGGAG